GGGGAUAAAAACACAUCCCGGUAGGUAGUCCGGGAGCGCCGUCAGGCGUCAGUAACCUGCCUCCUUUGGUUGUCCGUUCCCCGUAC
rnacentral:ncRNA from 1 species